UACGGGGGGGGCAAGCGUUGUUCGGAAUUACUGGGCGUAAAGGGUUCGUAGGUGGCCGGCUAAGUCAGACGUGAAAUCCCUCAGCUUAACUGGGGAACUGCGUCUGAGACUGGUCGGCUUGAGUGCAGGAGAGGAACGCGGAAUUCCAGGUGUAGCGGUGAAAUGCGUAGAUAUCUGGAGGAACACCGGUGGCGAAGGCGGCGUUCUGGACUGCAACUGACACUGAGGAACGAAAGCAGGGGGAGCAAACGGG
rnacentral:rRNA from 1 species